rnacentral:rRNA from 15 species
GACCUCGGAUCAGGUAGGGAUACCCGCUGAACUUAAGCAUAUCAAUAAGCGGAGGAAAAGAAACCAACAGGGAUUGCCCUAGUAACGGCGAGUGAAGCGGCAACAGCUCAAAUUUGAAAUCUGGCGUCUUUGGCGUCCGAGUUGUAAUUUGCAGAGGGCGCUUUGGCAUUGGCAGCGGUCCAAGUUCCUUGGAACAGGACGUCACAGAGGGUGAGAAUCCCGUACGUGGUCGCUAGCCUUUACCGUGUAAAGCCCCUUCGACGAGUCGAGUUGUUUGGGAAUGCAGCUCUAAAUGGGAGGUAAAUUUCUUCUAAAGCUAAAUACUGGCCAGAGACCGAUAGCGCACAAGUAGAGUGAUCGAAAGAUGAAAAGCACUUUGGAAAGAGAGUUAAAAAGCACGUGAAAUUGUUGAAAGGGAAGCGCUUGCAGCCAGACUUGCCUGUAGUUGCUCAUCCGGGUUUUUACCCGGUGCACUCUUCUACGGGCAGGCCAGCAUCAGUUUGGGCGGUUGGAUAAAGGUCUCUGUCAUGUACCUCCUCUCGGGGAGAUCUUAUAGGGGAGACGACAUGCAACCAGCCUGGACUGAGGUCCGCGCAUCUGCUAGGAUGCUGGCGUAAUGGCUGUAAGCGGCCCGUCUUGUAACACGGACCAAGGAGUCUAACAUCUAUGCGAGUGUUUGGGUGUCAAGCCCGAACGCGUAAUGAAAGUGAACGGAGGUGGGAACCUUUCGGGGUGCACCAUCGACCGAUCCUGAUGUCUUCGGAUGGAUUUGAGUAAGAGCAUAGCUGUUGGGACCCGAAAGAUGGUGAACUAUGCUUGAAUAGGGUGAAGCCAGAGGAAACUCUGGUGGAGGCUCGCAGCGGUUCUGACGUGCAAAUCGAUCGUCAAAUUUGGGCAUAGGGGCGAAAGACUAAUCGAACUAUCUAGUAGCUGGUUCCUGCCGAAGUUUCCCUCAGGAUAGCAGUAACGUUUUCAGUUUUAUGAGGUAAAGCGAAUGAUUAGAGGCCUGGGGGUUGAAACAACCUUCACCUAUUCUCAAACUUUAAAUAUGUAAGAAGUCCUUGUUACUUAAUUGAACGUGGACAGUUGAAUGUAUCGUUACUAGUGGGCCAUUUUUGGUAAGCAGAACUGGCGAUGCGGGAUGAACCGAACGCGGGGUUAAGGUGCCAGAAUAUACGCUCAUCAGACACCACAAAAGGUGUUAGUUCAUCUAGACAGCAGGACGGUGGCCAUGGAAGUCGGAAUCCGCU